rnacentral:misc_RNA from 1 species
AACGCACAUUGCGCCCUUUGGUAUUCCUUAGGGCAUGCCUGUUCGAGCGUCAUUUCAAACUUCAAGCCUCGCUUGGUGUUGGGCGUUUGUCCCCCCCCCGGGGGACUCGCCUCAAAUGCAUUGGCAGCCGGUACGUUGGCUUCGAGCGCAGCAGAAACGCGCGCGGCGUCUGACGGUGCCUGGCUCUCCAGGAAGCCUCACACCCAAGUUUGACCUCGGAUCAGGUAGGGAUACCCGCUGAACUUAA